rnacentral:rRNA from 1 species
AUUGAACGCUGGCGGCAUGCUUUACACAUGCAAGUCGGACGAGUGGCGAACGGGUGAGUAACAUAUCGGAACGUACCGAGUAAUGGGGGAUAACUAAUCGAAAGAUUAGCUAAUACCGCAUAUUAUUCGAGCUGUCGAUAGCUUAGUAGCUGGUUGGUGGGGUAAAGGCCUACCAAGGCGACGAUAAGUAGCGGGUAUGAGAGGAUGAUCAGCCACACUGGGACUGAGACAGGGCCCAGACUCACACGGUAGGCAUCAGUGGGGAAUUUUGGGGAAUGGGCGCAAGCCUGAUCCAGCCAUGCCGCGUGUCUGAAGAAGGCCUUCGGGGUGUAAGGGACUUUUGUCAGGGAAGCGGUACCUGAAGAAUAAGCACCGGCUAACUACGUGCCAGCCGCCGCGGUAAUAC